rnacentral:rRNA from 1 species
UGCAGUCGAGCGGAUGACGGGAGCUUGCUCCUUGAUUCAGCGGCGGACGGGUGAGUAAUGCCUAGGAAUCUGCCUGGUAGUGGGGGACAACGUUUCGAAAGGAACGCUAAUACCGCAUACGUCCUACGGGAGAAAGCAGGGGACCUUCGGGCCUUGCGCUAUCAGAUGAGCCUAGGUCGGAUUAGCUAGUAGGUGAGGUAAUGGCUCACCUAGGCGACGAUCCGUAACUGGUCUGAGAGGAUGAUCAGUCACACUGGAACUGAGACACGGUCCAGACUCCUACGGGAGGCAGCAGUGGGGAAUAUUGGACAAUGGGCGAAAGCCUGAUCCAGCCAUGCCGCGUGUGUGAAGAAGGUCUUCGGAUUGUAAAGCACUUUAAGUUGGGAGGAAGGGCAGUAAGUUAAUACCUUGCUGUUUUGACGUUACCGACAGAAUAAGCACCGGCUAACUCUGUGCCAGCAGCCGCGGUAAUACAGAGGGUGCAAGCGUUAAUCGGAAUUACUGGGCGUAAAGCGCGCGUAGGUGGUUCGUUAAGUUGGAUGUGAAAGCCCCGGGCUCAACCUGGGAACUGCAUCCAAAACUGGCGAGCUAGAGUAUGGUAGAGGGUGGUGGAAUUUCCUGUGUAGCGGUGAAAUGCGUAGAUAUAGGAAGGAACACCAGUGGCGAAGGCGACCACCUGGACUGAUACUGACACUGAGGUGCGAAAGCGUGGGGAGC